rnacentral:lncRNA from 1 species
UUUUCGUGUACAGCUGGAACUCCACCAUUUUUAUACCACCAUUUUUCUUUGCAACAACUUUGCCUCUUUAGGCAUAUCAAAGUCUGCGAAAGGCCAUGGAGCCUCUGCAGAAAACUAUAGAAACAGCUGGGGUGCUUUUCUCUUUGAUACAGCUGGAGUUUUGUUUCUUUCCUUCGUGUACAGCUAGAACUCCACCAUUUUUUGUACCACCAUUUUUCUUUGCAACAACUUUUAAUUCAUGCGCACAAAUGUACCAUGCUCAGCUAUUGCCAGCUAUCAUUUGCACCACUGCUA